rnacentral:rRNA from 1 species
UGAGCAAUCUGCCCAUCUCUUUGGAAUAAGCGUUGGAAACGACGUCUAAUGCCGAAUACGACCUCCUUUCGCAUGAUCGGAGGUGGAAAGCUCCGGCGGAGAUGGAUGAGCUCGCGGCCUAUCAGCUAGUUGGUGAGGUAACGGCCCACCAAGGCGACGACGGGUAGCCGGCCUGAGAGGGUGACCGGCCACACUGGGACUGAGACACGGCCCAGACUCCGUACGGGAGCAG